UCCUACGGGAGGCAGCAGUGGGGAAUAUUGCACAAUGGGCGCAAGCCUGAUGCAGCCAUGCCCGCGUGUAUGAAAGAAGGCCUUCGGGUUGUAAAGUACUUUCAGCAGUGAGGAAGGGGGUAUCGUUAAUAGCGGUAUCUUUUGACGUUAGCUGCAGAAGAAGCACCGGCUAACUCCGUGCCAGCAGCCGCGGAACUACGGAGGGUGCGAGCGUUAAUCGGAAUUACUGGGCGUAAAGCGCAUGCAGGUGGUUUGUUACCUCAGAUGUGAAAGCCCGGGGCUCAACCUCGGAAUUGCAUUUGAAACUGGCAGGCUAGAGUACUGUAGAGGGGGGUAGAAUUUCAGGUGUAGCGGUGAAAUGCGUAGAGAUCUGAAGGAAUACCGGUGGCGAAGGCGGCCCCCUGGACAGAUACUGACACUCAGAUGCGAAAGCGUGGGGAGCAAACAGGAUUAGAUACCCUGGUAGUCCACGCCGUAAACGAUGUCUACUUGGAGGUUGUGGCCUUGAGCCGUGGCUUUCGGAGCUAACGCGUUAAGUAGACCGCCUGGGGAGUACGGUCGCAAGAUUAAAACUCAAAUGAAUUGACGGGGGCCCGCACAAGCGGUGG
rnacentral:rRNA from 1 species